GGUGAAGAACGUAGCGAAAUGCGAUAAGUAGUGUGAAUUGCAGAAUUCAGUGAAUCAUCGAAUCUUUGAACGCACAUUGCGCCCCUUGGUAUUCCAUGGGGCAUGCCUGUUCGAGCGUCAUUUGUACCUUCAAGCUUUGCUUGGUGUUGGGUGUUUGUCUCGCCUUUGCGUGUAGACUCGCCUUAAAAUAAUUGGCAGCCGGCGUAUUGAUUUCGGAGCGCAGUACAUCUCGCGCUUUGCACUCAUAACGACAGCGUCCAAAAGUACAUUUUACACUCUUGACCUCGGAUCAGGUAGGGAUACCCGCUGAACUUAAGCAUAUCAAUAAGCGGAGGA
rnacentral:misc_RNA from 1 species